rnacentral:misc_RNA from 1 species
CGGGCAUAACAACAAACACUUGGGUUGCAGACUUUUUCUUUUCUUAUUUUGCUUUCAACCGUAAUAAAUCUGCUUUAGCUUAUUAACGGCUGAUUCAUCAACCGAACACUAGAGGGAGCGAUUGUAGGCUCAAUGGAAGAGCUCGUCGAGGGAAGCAGUGUCAUUGGCGUCAACCUCUCUGUAGUUAACAAAUUUUUCGCGCACGUAUUUGGCAUAAUAAGGCCUCUUGUCCUCCGGUAGACGCCUUACUAGCCUUAGUUAGAACCUCGCCAUACAUUCUUAAUGCUUUCUGUAUCUCUUUUUGCAAGGA